AUUGAACGCUGGCGGCAUGCUUUACACAUGCAAGUCGAACGGUAACAGCACUUCGGUGGCUGACGAGUGGCGAACGGGUGAGUAAUACAUCGGAACGUGCCUAGUAGUGGGGGAUAACUACUCGAAAGAGUAGCUAAUACCGCAUGAGAUCUAAGGAUGAAAGCAGGGGACCUUCGGGCCUUGCGCUACUAGAGCGGCUGAUGGCAGAUUAGGUAGUUGGUGGGAUAAAAGCUUACCAAGCCGACGAUCUGUAGCUGGUCUGAGAGGACGAGCAGCCACACUGGGACUGAGACACGGCCCAGACUCCUACGGGAGGCAGCAGUGGGGAAUUUUGGACAAUGGGCGCAAGCCUGAUCCAGCAAUGCCGCGUGAAGGAUGAAGGCCUUCGGGUUGUAAACUGCUUUUGUACGGAACGAAAAGCCCUCUUCUAAUACAGGAGGGUCAUGACGGUACCGUAAGAAUAAGCACCGGCUAACUACGUG
rnacentral:rRNA from 1 species